CUGGAGUAAGGAGAAGGACUUCAUAAAAUCUGUGAUUAAAUUGCAAUUUAUUUCUUGUUAGUGCUUCCAGUAACUGUGAGCUCUCAACUUCCUGUGAUGUUGAUCAUUGGAAUAAUUAUUGGAAUCGCUCUCAUUAUCCUCCUGAUCUUGUGGUGGCGCUACAGACGGUCCAAACACUCAUGCUGCAUCAGUUUUUUCCAGUCUGAAAGCAGUGGUCAGACGCCGGCCACUGAUCAUGGAGUGAACCGGAUUGGACAUGCUUACAUGACUCUUCUACAUGUCACCACUUCUAUUUAUCACACUCUCCAUCCCCGUGGAGCCGCUGGACAUGAUGAAUCACAAGCUGUGAAAUGCACAAAGAGAGAAGAUAAAUAAUUGAAAAAGAAUUAAAGAAGAACUGAAAAUAUUCCUGAACAUCGAUUCAGUUUUUCUUCCAUAUUCCUGUUGUAAUUUUAACAGAGACCUCGUCAAUCAGCAGGCGCUUCUGUUUGAGUCAGUGUGAGACCAGGAAAUAACAGCAUCCCCAGUUUUUAUAGAAUGUUUCGUUUCAGAUAAAUUAAAGCACACAUACCAGUAGUUUUAAAUGGAACCUGUUUUCAGUACAUUUCAUUAUAUAAGUUGCAUUUCUCAGUUUGUAAACUGCAUGCUCUCUGUCUACAUAUAAAUAUAAGCCUCUACGUUCUGAUCAGACUCUGAUCAGCUUUUCCUGAUGUCCGAACCAUCUCUGCAGAUCUCCGCUGCCUUGUAGGCUGCAUGCUGCGCUGGUUUAUUCUGCACUGUAAUCAAAUGUAAUAACUCAAAUAUUUGUAUUUUAUGUUGCUGCUUUAAGAUUCUUGAGUUGAUUUAAUCUAGUCAUAUCUCUCCAACAUGCAUGUGUUAAAGAUCUGAAAUAUAAAAAAUGCUAUCAUGAUU